AAUCCCCGCCCUGUUUCACUUUACCAAAUGCUGGGUUCUAUGGGGCCCGGUGGAGAGACUGAUCGUAAUGCCCUUGGAGCAGGGAAGAAAAUAAUUUAGAAAGGAGAUUCCGCCCCAGCUUGCGGUGCGGCCGAAAGGCUGUAAGGCAUCCCGGAGAGGGGAGGCAAGGCGAAAGCCAAAGCUGUAGAGUAUGGCA
rnacentral:ncRNA from 1 species